rnacentral:rRNA from 1 species
AAUGAACGUUGGCGGCAUGGAUUAGGCAUGCAAGUCGAGCGAGAAGGAAAUCAAAGUUUACUUUGGUUUCCGGAAAGCGGCGAAAGGGAGAGUAACGCGUAGUUAUCUACCCCAAGGCCCGGAAUAGCUGCGGGAAACUGCAGGUAAUGCCGGAUAAUAUCCCCGGAUCAAAGGUGUGAUUCCGCCUUGGGAGGAGACUGCGUUGUACUAGCUUGUUGGUAGGGUAAUGGCCUACCAAGGCUACGAUGCAUAGCGGGCGUGAGAGCGUGGCCCGGCUCACUGGGACUGAAACACUGCCCAGACACCUACGGGUGGCUGCAGUCGAGGAUCUUCGGCAAUGGGCGAAAGCCUGACCGAGCGAUGCCGCGUGCGGGAUGAAGGCCCUCGGGUUGUAAACCGCUGUCGUAGGGGAGAAAGGACCGUUGAAGAGACGGUUUUGAUCUAUCCUAGGAGGAAGUCCGGGCUAAGUUCGUGCCAGCCGCCGCAGUAACAC